ACCUCGUAAGUUGAAAAGCAACUCUUCCAUUUUUUUAAUCUUAUAGCCAAAUUUCUUGUGUAUAUUCAUAUAUGAUGCAAAGGGUACGAAGAUGUCUUGUUGUUUUUCUUGAAGAUGAUGGUUUUCAUUGUUUCUCAUCUAUUAUUACCUUUUUGUUUUUUAAUGCAACGUCUCACAACAUUUUUUGUCAAAGCCAGAAAUAUAACAUAUAAUAAUAUUGUAAACAGUUUCAACAUGUCGAAUCAAGAAGAACGUGUGCAACCAACAAGCAAGCCAAAAUUUAUGU